ACUCCUAAGAGAAUUUUUGACUACAAUUUUAAGAGGUGCAAACCGAGUUGAUGGCUGCAAAAGCUGAGGGGACUUUUUCAUUUUAAAGGAAGUCUCAAUUUAAAAGAAAUUAAUUACCUGGCUUCCUUUUGGAAAGGUGCUGUCUGAGCUGAAUCAGUGACCAAGAUUCAGAAAUUUAUCUUUCCUGGUUGAGGAAGACAUCAUAUACUGAUAUUUUGAGGUCAAUAAACAAAAGAAGAUAGACUCCUA